rnacentral:lncRNA from 12 species
GUAAUGUUCUACUCCUUGCCCUGGUUUCAGUUAUACUGAUGUGUUCAAGGAACAAAAAUUUUCUAAGCAAUAUAUGUUGGCUUUACAUGCAUUUCUCAACAUGUCCUACUCCAACUAAAUAAUAUGUAUAUGUUAAAAAGUAGAUAUAUGUUAAAAAGUAGAUAAAAACAUUUUCAAAGAAAAGUAUACAAUUCAGAGACUUUAGCUGAAAAAAAUACUAACAUAUAUAUGAGUAAGAAGAAUAUCAUACCCAGAAGGAAGGUAGGAGAUGUGGGAGACAGUAGCGAGCAAUUAUCUUUACCAUCAAGGCUAAGCAUUUGGUCGGGAGUGUAAACAGGGCAGGACUAAAAUACAGAGUAAUAAUAGCCCAGGUGACAGAAGGAAGUUCCGAGAAUCAACUUUAUCUUUAGGUUAAGCCACAGGCUCUAUCCCACUGCCCCGGUUCAUUGCUCUUGACCUUACAUUAACAAUCCCAUUUGUGCUCUCAGCUCCACUGAACCACUUUUGCCUCGCAGGUUGCUCUCCCCGAGGCCAUCUCUGUUUACUCCCACCCACUCUUAGGCCCCAGGAUCCGUGUUGGUGCCAAGCCCCAGAUUCUCCGUUCCUUGCUCAGGGAGGUGUGUCAGAAGCAGGUGAGUUAUGAACCCUGGCUUCUGUGCAGUUCAGAAAUCGCGUCAUGCUCUGCAGGUUCCCACUUGAGCCUUGGCACUGAUUUCACAUUCCUCUAAGAGCACCAGGAAACACUUGAGGGUUAUACAAAUUUAACCAUCGAAGCAGUGUUUUACUUGGCUGUUUUCUUUUGUGGCGUCGUUGUUGUUGUUGCGACUUACCUCUCCUAGCUUCUGUCAGUUAAGGUAUGGAUGAUAAAUGGACAAUGCUUCUGUAUAGGCCCAGGAAGAUUUUCAGUGUUCUUGGAAUAAGACUUACUCUGCUAAAGUUUGCUCUGCUUAAAUCAGUGGCACAACAAAAUCAUUGGAAACAUUCUCUGGAGGAGUUGAGGAUUCUCUCUUCUGCACACCCUGCGUCUGAGUUAUUGAUAUGGAGCAAACAGAACAGGUCGCACGGAUGUGCCAGAUUCCCAGAGCAGACCAGUCUGGACAUAGCUCGAAAAUUGGAAAGGAUGAGACGUAGAAUAGAAAAGAGCCAUUACGUGGGAAGGAAAUGAAUCUCCAAGAAGGUAAGGGCUACAAAGAACGUAAGAGGCUACAAGAAGGUAAGACACUUUCUGAGAUGUGUUAGCACCCGGCGAGAGGUGCUUGACACACUCCUCUGGGCUGGACUGGAGUGUCUCUGGAGAGAACUGGCACAUCAUAGGGAGGUGGUGUGUGUGUUGGGGUCAUGGGUGCGGGCUCUGGAGUGCCAACUCUCAGGGGAUGGAAGGGAGGGGCCGGGGAGCACAGGCGAUAAAGCUUUCCAUGCACAGUUAAUUACGGGACAGUGCUCACACCCAACAGUGAGGCAUCAUGGGUUUUUCUUGGUUUCAGUUAUUUCUACCAAAGGCAGUCGGAAUGUGUCCCCUUUCCAUCUUGUCAGCAGUGCCACAACCUAUGUCAGUCUUUGUUUUCACCUCUGCUGGUUUCAACUCUGCUGUCUUGUGGCGUCAGUGCUGUCAAUUUAGAAUCGUGCUGUUUCUGCUAGUGUGCUUAUGAUCCAGGACACCUGAAGGUGUCAUUUUCCAGUGGCUAAUUAACCUUGAGAUCAGAGGCACACCAGCAUAGCCCCUUAAUUAUAUUUCUGUGUAACCCUGCAAGCACAGGGUGACGAGGGGCCAGGAGCACUGCUGUCAUCGUGCCGUCCCACCUGUCUGACCCAUAAUCUGGGGAUUGCUAUACAAUCCUGAUUUCUGUCCUCGACAUGGAUUGUUCUGCGUUCUAAGUUCAGAUGGCAAAGCUUUGAGUGUCUGAGUGGAACCUUUUGACAGGUGUAUGCAAACGCUUGCGGUGUUUUUACAAUAAUAAUUAAAAAUAAAAAG